AUACUAAAACAGCUACCCAAUCUACUGUAAUUUUAAAAAAUUAGCAAUGGAAAUACAUUUUACUACUGUGCAAAGACAGCAACAAUAUAACACCGCACUGACAGAUAGAAUAUAUCUCAAUUUGAAUGGUAAAUGAUAGCAAUUAAGAUUUCACCAAUGUAAUCCAUGAUGCAUGUAAAGCACGAGAGGGCAAAUUGGCAUUUUAGCAAUACUUUGGCAUUGAAAAGGCAAAAACAUAGGAGCAAAUCAGCAAAAUGAAAAGAAUUCAUUUCAACUAUUUACAGUGCGACCGAUCAAGCUCCAUCAAAUAAGCAGUAAAUCAAAGUAAAUCUGGUUGAUUAAUAUCAUUUAUUUCA
rnacentral:misc_RNA from 1 species